rnacentral:rRNA from 1 species
GACGAAGGGGGCUAGCGUUGUUCGGAAUUACUGGGCGUAAAGCGCACGUAGGCGGCUUUGUAAGUUAGAGGUGAAAGCCCAGGGCUUAACCCUGGAAUUGCCUUUAAGACUGCAUCGCUAGAAUCGUGGAGAGGUGAGUGGAAUUCCGAGUGUAGAGGUGAAAUUCGUAGAUAUUCGGAAGAACACCAGUGGCGAAGGCGACUCACUGGACACGUAUUGACGCUGAGGUGCGAAAGCGUGGGGAGCGAACAGG